rnacentral:rRNA from 1 species
AUUGAACACUGGCGGCAGGCCUAACACAUGCAAGUCGAGCGGAUGAGUGGAGCUUGCUCCAUGAUUCAGCGGCGGACGGGUGAGUAAUGCCUAGGAAUCUGCCUGGUAGUGGGGGACAACGUUUCGAAAGGAACGCUAAUACCGCAUACGUCCUACGGGAGAAAGCAGGGGACCUUCGGGCCUUGCGCUAUCAGAUGAGCCCAGGUCGGAUUAGCUAGUUGGUGGGGCAAAGGCCUACCAAGGCGACGAUCCGUAACUGGUCUGAGAGGAUGAUCAGUCACACUGGAACUGAGACACGGUCCAGACUCCUACGGGAGGCAGCAGUGGGGAAUAUUGGACAAUGGGCGAAAGCCUGAUCCAGCCAUGCCGCGUGUGUGAAGAAGGUCUUCGGAUUGUAAAGCACUUUAAGUUGGGAGGAAGGGCAGUAAGUUAAUACCUUGCUGUUUUGACGUUACCAACAGAAUAAGCACCGGCUAACUUCGUGCCAGCCGCCGCAGUAAGAC